CUCAGUUCCAGGCCAUGUCUUGGCAGAAGUAGUUGCCCUCACUGACCUACAGGCAAAAAUCCACAUUCCUUCCAAGCAGAACUGGCAACCCUUCGGGAUCCCUGACCAACCCCCAUGCAACGCAGCCUUGUCCACAACUCUGCUGUUUUCUCCGCAGGAGGAUGGAGAAGGGCUUGCCUCCCAGCUGAGGGUAUCCUGGAGGGCUUUGGGAGGAGCUGACAGUGGAGCUACGUGUUGAAGGCCCACCCUCACCUUACAGCACCCCCAGCCUGCAGAGUCAGAGACAAGAAAGCAGAACAAGGCGGUUCCUCCUCCUUCCUCCCCACACACCCACGCCUGCCACCUGGCCAAGGAGACGCCUCUCAAAGACACUGGUGCCUUGGAUGUGCAAAGAGGAACUGCCUGUGAGUGCGAAGAUCUUGCAGCCCCAGACUUCUCUCAAUGAGGCUGAGCUGGAUCAGGAUGACACUGAUGCUGCUGGUCGGGGGACCACACCUCGAGACCCACUGACACUAUCUUGGAUCCUCCUACAAGCCCAAGAGGUGCCUGUUUGGGUCAUCCCAUUGUACAGGUGAAGAGGCUAAGGACUGGAGGGGAGGGGCCUUGCUCAGGGCCCAGGAAGCCAGAGAACAAACAUCCGGAGUCUCUGGAAUCUCUCCUACUUUCCUUCCUCACAUCCCGAGGAUCUGGGAGCCAGCAUGAGCAUGCACACAGCGUGCGCACACACACACACACACACGCACACACUGGGCUGGGUAAAUAUGUCAGCCUGGGAUAUCUUGUGGGACUGUUGUGAAUCUGUGGGUGCCUUAGAACCCCAAAGCCUUGAAAAGAUGAUGAUGCCCUCCCACCAGACCCUCGGACCCUCUAUACAAUUCAAACUAAAUUUUAUCUUGGAAAUGAAAAUUAAAA
rnacentral:lncRNA from 10 species